rnacentral:rRNA from 1 species
UACAGAGGGUGCAAGCGUUGUUCGGAUUUACUGGGCGUAAAGCGCGUGUAGGCGGCUUUGCAAGUCGGAUGUGAAAGCCCACGGCUCAACCGUGGAAGUGCAUCCGAAACUGCAUGGCUUGAGUCUCGGAGAGGAAGGUGGAAUGCUUGGUGUAGAGGUGAAAUUCGUAGAUAUCAAGCAGAACACCUGCGGCGAAGGCGGCCUUCUGGACGAUGACUGACGCUGAGACGCGAAAGCGUGGGGAGCAAACAGG